GACGAACGCUGGCGGCGUGCUUAACACAUGCAAGUCGAACGGUGAAGGGGUCUGCUUUUGUGGUCCCUGGAUGAGUGGCGAACGGGUGAGUAACACGUGAGUAACCUUCCCCCUUCUUCUGGAUAACCGCAUGAAAGUGUGGCUAAUACGGGAUAUUCUGGUUCUGUCGCAUGAUGGGUCUGGGAAAGAUUGCGCCUUUGGGUGUUUUUGGUGGGGGAUGGGCUCGCGGCCUAUAAGCUUGUUGGUGGGGGGAUGGCCUACCAAGGAGGUGACGGGUAGCCGGGAGGAGAGGGUGGACGGUCACACUGGGACUGAGACACGGACCAGACUCCGACGGGAGGGAGGAGUGGGGAAGACUGCAGGAGGGGCGCUAGCCUGAUGAAGCGACGCCGCGUGAGGGAUGGAGGCCUUCGGGUUGUAAACCUCUUUCGCCAGUGAAGCAGGCCUGCUCCAUGUGGGUGGGUUGACGGUAGCUGGAUAAGAAGCGCCGGCUAACUACGUG
rnacentral:rRNA from 1 species